AGCCACCAUGUGGUUGCUGGGAAUUGAACUCAGGACCUCUGGAAGAGCAGCCACUGCUCUUAACCUCUGAGCUAUCUCUCCAGCCUCUAGCCUGUGGUUUCUUACUCUCAGUCCCUUUGCGUGCCCACUCAACUCCUCUCUGAGAAGAAGACAGCCUUGGACCCUUCAGUGUCUGAAAUGAGAUAACAAGAUGGGCUACAAUGGAAAGAAGAUUGCGCCACUGGACCUUCAUAACUCAGACAUACUUCCUACAGCUCCUUGUCUGGACACAGCCUCCUGACUCCCCUUUCCCAUUCAAAGCCCCCAGCAGGCCCUCCUUCACCUCUUCCAGCGAAGGCUCUAAGAAGACUUUGGUACUGGGAAGAUCUGGGUCUGAACCUCCCCAGCUUUGUGAAUAAUGAACAUAAUUAAAGAUCCUCAGGUCCAGUUUCUUCAUCUGUGAAGGAAAGGACUGUGGCCUCCAGAGUUAUAAUGGAGGGUUAAAUGAGAUAAAGCUCACAAUGGGGAGCACAGUGCCCUGCAAAUCAUAAAUGUUAUAGUCAAGACAUAUGUAUUUUACUUUCUGUACCACGAUGCCUAUGUUAAUAUUAAAAGACUGAAGACUAAA